UGGGGAAUAUUGCACAAUGGGCGAAAGCCUGAUGCAGCGACGCCGCGUGGGGGAUGACGGCCUUCGGGUUGUAAACCUCUUUUAGCAAGGAAGAAGCGAAAGUGACGGUACUUGCAGAAGAAGCGCCGGCUAACUACGUGCCAGCAGCCGCGGUAAUACGUAGGGCGCAAGCGUUGUCCGGAAUUAUUGGGCGUAAAGGGCUUGUAGGUGGCUUGUCGCGUCUGCCGUGAAAACUCGAGGCUUAACCUUGGGCGUGCGGUGGGUACGGGCAGGCUAGAGUGCGGGAGGGGAGACUGGAAUUCCUGGUGUAGCGGUGAAAUGCGCAGAUAUCAGGAGGAACACCGAUGGCGAAGGCAGGUCUCUGGGCCGUUACUGACACUGAGAAGCGAAAGCAUGGGGAGCGAACAGG
rnacentral:rRNA from 1 species